rnacentral:rRNA from 1 species
GAUGAACGCUGGCGGUAUGCCUAAUACAUGCAAGUCGUGCGGAAAGGCCUCUUCGGAGGUACUCGAGCGGCGGACGGCAGAGUAACGCGUAGGAACAUACCCCCAAACUGAGGGAUAACUGCUCGAAAGAGUAGCUAAUACCGCAUGUGGUCUUCGGACUAAAGCUUCGGCGGUUUGGGAAUGGCCUGCGUUCGAUUAGCUAGUUGGUGAGGUAAUUGCUCACCAAGGCGACGAUCGAUAGCUGGUCUGAGAGGAUGAUCAGCCUGAUUGGAACUGAGACACGGUCCAGACUCCUACGGAGGCAGCAGUAGGGAAUUUUCCACAAUGGGCGAAAGCCUGAUGGAGCAAUACCGCGUGCAGGAUGAAGGCCUUCGGGUCGUAAACUGCUUUUAUGUGAGAAGAAUUUGACGGUAACACAUGAAUAAGGGUCGGCUAACUACGUAGCCAGCAGCCGCGGUAAU